CCUCCUCAAGAUGAGAUUUCCCAACUUCGGUUAUAAGAUCCCUCGAAGAUGACGAGGUUAAUAGGUUCGAGGUGGAAGCGUGGUGACACGUGGAGCUGACGAAUACUAAUCGAUCGAAGACUUAAUCAAUUUUUUAAA
rnacentral:rRNA from 1 species